UACGCAUGACCGUCAUGGUAAUUUUUCACAUUUAAACUAUGCUCUCUUAAGCGGUCAUUAAGACACCAUCCUUUCUGUCCUAUGUACUUCUGACCACAGUACAGCGGCAACUCGUACACCACUGCCUUUUCACAAUCCACAAAAGGAUUUCGAUGUCUCUUGGAACAGUUUCGCUG
rnacentral:lncRNA from 1 species